UACGGAGGAUGCAAGCGUUAUCCGGAAUGAUUGGGCGUAAAGGGUCCGCAGGUGGCAAUGUAAGUCUGCUGUCAAAGAAUGAGGCUUAACCUCAUCAAGGCAGUGGAAACUACAUAGCUAGAGUACGGUCGGGGUAGAAGGAAUUCCUGGUGUAGCGGUGAAAUGCGCAGAUAUCAGGAGGAACACCAAUUGCGAAGGCAGCUCGCUGGGACGUUACUGACGCUGAGACGCGAAAGCGUGGGGAGCAAACAGG
rnacentral:rRNA from 1 species